UUUUUCUCUAGGAAAUACCGCCCUGCCCCUCCGCCUGCCCCAGUCCAAUGUUUAUAAUCCCUCUGCCAGGGCCUGUUGUCUGUUGAUUGUGUAUCUAUUCUCUGUUUAUACUUUUCUGGAGCCAGUUCUCAAGGAUUAUGAAGUCACAGCUCUUGGAUUCCUUGCCGAGAUGCUGCUGUGGGUCUUGCUGGCCUAUCACACUUUUGGGAAACCUCCCCUUUCCCAUUCCAUGUGUUUUUUGGAGGGCUGCUAGUCAUAGCAUCUGCCUUCCCUCCACUGAAUCACCCAUCUGGACCAGUAUUCUUGAAUGAGAAACAUUUUGGAGGGAGAAUCUAAUGGUUUGGGUGGCCAACUGAAUAUGGGGAGAGAGAGUAAAAAAAUUGGUACCUUGGCGUGGGCAUUUGGGUGAAUGGUUAUGAGACUAGAAGCACAAGAGGGAGAGACAAGUAGGGAAAAAUGAUGAACUUUGGCUUUCAGCAGCGGAGAAGUGAGCUGAUAAGGAAGUUUUCAGGAAGUCUGGUUUAGGAUUGAUGGAACUCUGGAGGCUGGGUGACCAGGGAAGAGAUAAUAAUUAAUCCAGGGGUGAGAAGAGGAAUGAUAGUAUUUAUUAACCACUUCUGCCUAACAAUCCCAGCAAAUGCCAGGUUCGGCCAAACAUGGUUUGCAAGAGCGGACCCAGAGCUGUGCUGGGGAGUGGAAACUGGGGAAGAGUCCAGUAUUUUGCAAGACGGAAGGGAAUGUGAAUUCCCAGGGGUAAUCAAGAAGUGAGGGGGUGAGAGAGAAAGAUGGAAAAGAGGAAGGAUGGGAGAUCAGCCUCGGUCUGGGGCUCCUCGUGGGGUCAAGAGACUGGUGAAGACAAAGAAUCUUCAGCACAACCUUAAGACAGCCAGUGUUUAAUUCCAAGUUCUCUGCUUUGCUUCACCCCCACCCCCCGCCUCCAAAUUUCACUUGUCCCCUCCGCACUGAAACGUCUUUGCACUUGCUUUUCAAAGGAAAUUGAGAAAGGGUGUGAGUGUGGAUGAUUUCAGCCAAGCGAGAGCACCCAAGAUGUGACAGGAUGUACACACCGCGGGUCGAUGCUGGGUUUCACUUAUACGGUUCGUCAUUUGCCUCAAGUCUGAACUCGCUGGCUGGUCCUAGAUUUCGCUGUUCCACCGCACCCUGGAGGUGCCCGGCAAGCGUUCACUGUUGACUAAUGUACUCUAGAAGUCUCCGAAUGACCCACCUCCUGGUUCUGUCCAGUGGCCUGACCUGGAGAAUGCUGUUCUAAAGAUAGCGCAGAAGUUGCCCCCCGCCACUUGCACAUCCCAGUAAGAGAACUGGCUGCACUUAGAGAGGCAAGGUUCACUCAGCAGCUUCAAAAACAUUUUUUUUUUUUUUUUCCAGCCAAGUUUCUGUUCUGCUCGCAGUUCUUGCUUGUGACCUAGAAGCGGCCAGUGCCCCAGGGAACGAUGCUGUCUAAACUUCCUCCUAUUUCCUGGCCUCCCCUCCCCCACCCCCCACGCGGGGCACUUGGGCUUCCCAGCAGCCUUUGCACGCCAGCCCUUCCUGAACCCCUCCUCCAGCCACAGGCCUGCUCGGAACCCUCAUCCUAUCAGAUGCGGGCCCGCAGCUGGACCACAGCCAAUGGCAGCCAUGAAUGUUGGCACCGGGCUUAAAUCCACACUGGCCUCCCUCCUGCCUGCAGCGGGUCCAGUCUGGUCUUCCUGUGCUCACUUCUCUCUCUGCUCUGGCUGGGACGCGUGUGCCUAGUUUCUUGGUCCAAAUCGUACACGAACCGUCGGGAUUUGUGUUACUACGUGUAGUCUGAACUUUGUGGCUAUGUGCUCUGGAAAUGUUGUGUGUAAAUUAAUUUUUCUUCUAUGCAUUGGUUGGUUUGAGCCAUUACUGUAUACACCCGUCCACUUUAAGACAUUUUCUAGAGUCUUCUCUUCCUUGUCUUUGAAGGGAAAUGAUUACUUGUCUUGUUGCCCAGAUCUGGCUGGGAGCUGGGCCAAGAAUCCCCUCUUACACACACCACUCAGUACCCACACCCGUCCAAAAUCCUCUUGAAAACAUUGACUCAUCCUCUGUAUCACCAUCAUUCAUUCAUUUGCAAGAAUAUGGGACUAUUGGGCUGUGCUGGGUGCUAAAGGCACAGGGCCAGAACAAAACAAUGGCCCUGCCAUCCUGGAGCUUGGAGUCUAAUGAGGGAUAUAAAUAGGAAACAAUUUCAUCCACUGAUGUAAUAGGAAAAGAUGGAUCAACUGCCCAGACUUGGAAAUUCAGGGAGCUCUGUAGGAAGAAAUGCCCUAUGCAUGGAGCCUACAACAGGUUGACAUUAGACACGGAGGGCUGGUUGAUAGUGGCAUUAGUGGUGGCCUUAUGCCAUGCUGUGCAUCUGUCCUUCUGGCAAAUCCCAUAAUGGCACCAGACAUAAGGAAACCGGGACAGACCUUGACUCCAUGGAGUUUUCCAUUUCUUGGUUCAAAAUGUCUUCAUUGGCAGCCUGUACAAGUGGAAUUGCCGUGAGUUGCUUGUACCUUUACACUUGUAGAAUCUGUACUUUGUAGAGUCAAGACUUGUUCAUCAUCUGAAUAGAUAAACUUAUUACCCUAUGGUAAAGCUCCACUUGGAACCGGCACCCCCCCCCCCCCCGAGUUAUACUUUUCUCUAAGCCCCACUUUCUGGAUUAUGACCAUAAACUUCUCAGAGAAUGAAUGCUUUGACAAUGUAUUAUAUACAUAUAUAUUUGGUUAAAUAUGUAUAUAACCAAAUCAUGCAGUAACUUGGGAAAAUUUGUUGCAUUCGGAGUUAGUUCAGGUAACCAAGAGCAGGUGAUCUUUGUUGGGUGCUUACUGUGAGUUAGGUGCUAAGUGCUUGAUGUGUGUGACCUCGUUUCAUCCUCAUGAGCAUUCCUGGGGUUAGGCAAUGGCCAGGCAGGGGUGAGAGCUCUGGGUUCCUUGCUGUGGAGCCUGGGGUCCCGACCAUACUGACUCUCAAGAGUACUACUUGCGGAAUUCCUGUGACUCAUUGGUUAACAAAUCUGACUAGCAUCCAUGAGCAUGCAGGUUCAAUUCCUAGCCUUGCUUGAUGGGUUAAGGAUCCAGUGUUGCCAUGAGCUGUGGUGUAGGUUGCAGAUGUGGUUUGGAUCCCACAUUGCUGUGGUUGUGUUGUAGGCCAGCAACUACAGCUCUCAUUUGACCCCUAGCCUGGGAAUCUCCACAUGCUACAGGUGUGG
rnacentral:lncRNA from 1 species